AUUGAACGCUGGCGGCGUGCCUAACACAUGCAAGUCGAGCGGUAACAGGUGUAGCAAUACAUGCUGACGAGCGGCGGACGGGUGAGUAACGCUUGGGAAUCUGCCUAUUAGUGGGGGACGAACCCGGGGAAACGUACGGGCGUAAUACCGCAUACGCACUACGGUGGAAGCCGGGACCGCAAGGCUGGCGCUAACAGAUGAGCCCAAGUCGGAUUAGCUAGUUGGUAGGGAACGGCCUACCAAGGCGACGAUCCGUAACUGGUCUGAGAGGACGACCAGUCACACCGGAACUGAGACACGGUCCGGACUCCUACGGGAGGCAGCAGUGGGGAAGUAUUGGACAAUGGGCGAAAGCCUGAUCCAGCGACGCCGCGUGGGUGAAGAAGGCCUGCGGGUUGUAAACCUCUUUCAGCUCCGACGAAGCGAGAGUGACGGUAGGAGCAGAAGAAGCACCGGCCAACUACGUGCCA
rnacentral:rRNA from 1 species